GUUGGUUUCAUGCUCAGUUUAUUUUGUUACAUUCUUAACAAGACAUCGAAAUAAAACACUUGAAUUGUUGCGUUUUCUACUUGGUGGAUUUAAAACCACUAUAUUGAACAAUGGAGACCAUGGAUUUUGAUGACUACACAUUUGCCAACAAGCCCAGAAAAAGUGAUGGGGUUGCAUUUUCAGAACAUUGUCAGUGGUGGAAGAGACCUUUUGGAGUUGCUGCUGUGUGUCUCGGCCUGCUUUGUGUUCUCUUACUGGCUGGGAUAAUAGGCCUGGGCUUCUACUAUAGAGCAAUUGGUCAUCUUUACUCAUCAGAGGGAGACGAACCCGCUAAUAGUCUCACCAUAAGAAUUAAAGAGAAAGUCCAGCUGCAAAAUAGUCUUACAGAACUGAUGUCUGAAAGGGAUCAAUUAAUGAACAGUCUCAACUCAACAACCACUGAAAGAGAUCAGCUGCAGCCCAACCUGAACACAAAGACCAAGGAGAGAGACCAGCUACAGAAUAGUCUCGGUACCAUGAUAACUGAAAGAGACCAGUUGCAGCAUAGCCUUAACACAAAAAUUAAGGAGAAAGACCAGCUACAGAAUAGUCUCAGCACCAUGACAACUGAAAGAGACCAGCUGCAGAAGAUUUUUAAUAUCGGAACCACAGAGAAAAGUCAGCUUCAACAGAGUCUAACAACAAAGACCAAAGAGAGAGACCAGCUGCAAAAUAGUCUUGAAGUACUGACUGCUGAAAGGGAUAAACUGAAGAAAAUUCUCAACUCAAUGACCACUGAAAGGGACCAGCUGCAGCAUAGCCUGAACACAAAGACUAAGGAGAGAGAUCAGCUACAGAGUAGUCUCAAUACCAUGACAACCGAGAGAGACAAGUUACAGCACAGCCUUAACACAAAAACUAAAGAGAAAGACCAACUACAGAGUAGUCUUAGUACCACGACAACUGCAAGAGACCAGCUGCAGCAAAGCCUAAACACAAAAACUAAAGAGAAAGACCAGCUACAGAGUAGUCUCAGUACCAUGACAACUGAAAAAGAUCAGCUGGAGAAGAAUCUCAAUACCCGGACCACAGAGAAAAUUCAGUUGCAAGAGAGUCUAAACACAAAUAUCAAAGAGAGGGAUCAACUGGAAAAUAGUCUUAAAGUUUUGAUUGCUGAAAGGGAUACACUGAAGAAAAGUCUCAACUCAAGGACCACUGAAAGGGACCAGCUGCAGCACAGCCUGAACACAAAGACUAAGGAGAAAGACCAGCUACAGAGUAGUCUCAGUUUGAUGACAACUGAAAGAGACCAGCUGCAGCAAAGUCUAAACACAAAAACUAAAGAGAAAGACCAGCUACAGAAUAGUUUCAGUACCAUGACAACUGAAAGAGACCAGCUGCAGAAGAAUCUCAAUACCCGAACCACAGAGAAAAAUCAGUUGCAAGAGAGUCUAAACACAAAGACCAAAGAGAGGGAUCAGCUGGAAAAUAGUCUUAAAGUAUUGACUACUGAAAGGGAUACACUGAAGAAAAGUCUCAACUCAAGGACCACUGAAAGGGACCAGCUGCAGCACAGCCUGAACACAAAGACUAAGGAGAAAGACCAGCUGCAGAGUAGUCUCAGUACCAUGACAACUGAAAGAGACAAGCUGCAGCAAGGCUUAAACACGAAAACUAAAGAGAAAGACCAACUACAGAGUAGUCUCAGUACCAUGACAACUGAAAGAGACCAGCUGCAGAAGAAUCUCAAUACCCGAACCACUGAGAAAAAUCAGUUGCGAGAGAGUCUAACAACAAGGACUAAAGAGAGGGAUCAGCUGGAAAAUAGUCUUAACGUAAUUACUGCUGAAAGGGACAAAUUAAAGAACAGUCUCAACUCAAAGAUGAAAGAGAGCGAUCAAAUACAGAAUAGCCUGAAUACCACGACAACCGAGAGAGACCAGAUAAAGACCAGGUUGAAUUUAUAUGAGAAACCCUGUCAGGACGGGUGGUUGAAGUUUGGCACCAGUUGUUAUUUUCUCUCCACCACGCUGGACACCGCUGGCGGGGGUCAGAGGAAAUGCAGACCAAUGGGUGGAGAGCUGGUCAUUAUAAACAGCAAAGAAGAAUAGAUAUUUAUCAAUGGUUUUAAGAAGAAUGUUUGGAUUGGUAUGUAUAAAAAAGAUAGAGCCUGGAACUGGAUUGACAACAUGCCAUUUGGUCCUACGUAUUGGAUGCCAGGGGAACCAAAAAACUUGAAUGACAAGAUUACUUGUGUUGAGAUCUCACAGACAUCAUCAGAUCCAUUAAAGAGUUGGAAAGAUGUGCCGUGUGUUGAACAACACUGGGUCUGUGAGAAAGCUGUGCAGUUAUAAUAGCGACUAUAAGCCCCUAUCUUACGGAGCUGUAAUGCAUCUCACUGUUUGUUUCUUUUGCAAACAUAUCUAAAAAUGAGAUUUGAUCACAAAUUGUAUCAUGCAUAAUAUGAAAACAUGUCUUUCAAGAUAAUGUGUUCUCUUGUUCAAAUGGAUAUACACCACAUUUUUAUAUAUCCUCAACUAAUAUAUUAGAACUUGUUAAACUUUGAGGCCCAUUUUCAUGUACACAGAUUAAAAAAAGACAUGGAUAAAAAGAACCAUGGUGGGAGCAUCAUGUUAUGGGGAUGAUUCUCAGUGGCAGAGACUGGGAGACAGGUCAGAAUUUAGGGAUGAACAGAGUAAAAUUUACCUCACCGGCUCUGACCUCAUGAACUCUUUAUUUUCUGUAAUAUAGAUGUGGUACUCCCUUGUUGAAAUCUCAGCAGUUUUAGCGGGAAAACAACCGAGAAUCUGCUCUUACUCACAGUCCAUGAGGAAAACCACCAUCUCACACUGCCACCUAUUGACGGGAGGUAGUUACAGCAGCACGUUUCACAGCACAGAGAAUCAUCUUUUGAAAAUAAAGAAAAAGAAAACAGAUACAACCUCAAAUCAUGUACCACCUAAAACCAAGUAUUUACAGUCAUACAAAUGUGAUCACACUCUAGUGGGCACCACACUAGCAAAGCCUAUGAGCUAAUCUAAUUAGAAGUCAAAGUAUUUCAUUAAUCAGUUGCUCCGAAUAACACAGCUUCAUUCUAUACAAUGACAUGACAUUUUGUGACAUGGCACACAUUAUCUACGCAGUAAUAAUGUAGUAUAUAAGGCAAAAAUAUACAUAAUGUAAAUUAGCAGCAAUUUUAAAGAGCGUAGAAUGGGGAAUAUGAACAAUAUUGGUAGAAGUACUGAAUAUUAAUAAAUGCAAUAUGCCUAUGAAACAUAUUUUAAUGUACAUUGAAAGACAUCAGAGCACCUGGAAUGUUCAUGUGUGAUC